rnacentral:rRNA from 1 species
GAACGCAUACCACAAAGUAUGAGUGGCAAACGGGUGAGUAACGCGUGAGACAUCUACCUUACAGCCCGGUAUAAAUCUCUGUAUACAGUGUAUUCUUUAUAUAUGAAUGAAUUCCGGAUACCUUUAUAUAUGUAUAUAAAAGAAAGGCAAAGAACCGUUGUAAGAUGAGCUCGCGUAGGAUUAGGUAGUUGGUAAGGUAAAAGCUUAUCCAAGCCGAUGAUCCUUAGCUGGUCUGAGAGGAUGAUCAGCCACACUGGGACUGAGACACGGCCCAGACGCUUUCGAGCGGCAGCAGUGAGGAAUUUUGGACAAUGGGCGAAAGCCUGAUCCAGCUAUAUCGCAUGAAUGAAGAAGGCUCAAUUGGUUGUAAAAUUCAUACUUUCAUUAUAGAUUAUGACAUUGAUGAAAUGAGCAGUCCCGGCCAACUCCGUGC